GUCCAGACUCCUACGGGAGGCAGCAGUGGGGAAUAUUGGGCAAUGGGCGAAAGCCUGACCCAGCAAUGCCGCGUGAAUGAAGAAGGUCUUAGGAUUGUAAAAUUCUGUCCUAUGGGAAGAAACAAAUGACGGUACCCAAAGAGGAAGCUCCGGCUAACUACGUGCCAGCAGCCGCGGUAAUACGUAGGGAGCAAGCGUUGUCCGGAAUUACUGGGCGUAAAGGGCGCGUAGGUGGGCGCUUAAGUCAGGUGUGAAAACUCCGGGCUCAACCUGGAGACUGCACUUGAAACUGGGUGUCUUGAGGGCAGGAGAGGAAAGUGGAAUUCCUAGUGUAGCGGUGAAAUGCGUAGAUAUUAGGAGGAACACCAGUGGCGAAGGCGACUUUCUGGACUGUACCUGACGCUGAGGCGCGAAAGCGUGGGUAGCGAACGGGAUUAGAUACCCCUGUA
rnacentral:rRNA from 1 species